GGUCUCUGUGCCUGGCUGCUUCGAACAAGAUGGCCGCUCUUCCAUAAGAGCUCCACGAUAUCAUCUUCACCCCUAACCAAAAACGGGGGGAGAUUGAGUUUCAAGGAGGAGGAAGAAGAAGUAGAAGUAGUAGAAAAUGAAGAAGAAUCAUCGUCAAAUCCCAAGUCGGUAACAGAGUUGAUUCAUAUCUUUAGACAUAAAAUGACACCAAACCUCUGAGAGUACUCCUAUUGGAAAUUUGAGAAGUUGAAUCACCAUAUAUAUAUAUAUAGUAUUUUAAAUAUUGUUAAAAGAGUUUGACAUGAAAAACAUUUUUUUUUUGUAGUAGCUGAUUCUCUUCUGGUUUAGCCAUAAACCCCCAAGAAACUACCCAAAGAACAAAAAGUGAACUGUUGAAACCUGAGAUAUUUUUGUUUAUAUAUUUUGGAACAUAGUGUGCAUUUGGGUCUCAUUACACUCAUCUUUUGAAUUUUAUUUUUGCUUCUACGCCUUUCUUUCAGUUCUUUCUCUUAUUUUGUCUGAAUGCUUACUCCGAAUUUUGUGCUUUACACAAAUAAUAAGCUCCCUAUCUUUUCUGCCCGCGAAAAGUGAGCGUCUUUGUGCGUGCUACCAAGUUUGCGAUACUUACAUGACCUCAUCACUUUACAAGUGGGUCUUUUGUCUCUCUCUUUUGAUGGGUCCACAUUGAGCAUAGAAUAAUAGUAUUUACAUAUGAAAACAACAUGCUAGUGGUAUUUUCUAAAUCAUUUUAGAUUACCACAACAUCCCUGAGAAGAAUCUGGAGGAUGAGAUCGAGAAUCUGGCGGUGAAUCUGUAGGUAUAUUCUCUCAAAAAUGAGUUUCUUGUAUCAACUGUAGUAAAUAUCUUACACAAACUAGUUUUCCAAGUAUCUAAAGAGUCAGCCAUAAGAAGUUACCGACAUGUGGCAACCCGCGAUUGGUUCACUUUUUAUUUUUUUUUAAAUCAGAAGAAAAAAACUAAAAAAAAAACCUGAAUAGGAUAUAUAGAACAAAGAUGCUCUAAUGCUAUUAGAACAUUUUCAAUGGAAGUAUUUGAAGAGUACCCCUAACAUUGAAAAAAUGAAGAAAGUAUAAAAGUAUGAAAGAGAAUAUAAGAGAGUUCUCAAAAAUAACCUAUGAUAUACCAUAAAACACUUAUUUCUAGUUAUUUUUCAGCACUAAAAUUAAAUCAUAAGUUAUAUAACUUAUAUUAAACUAGUAUUAUAAAUUUGCUAAAAUCCAUUUUAAGAUAUUAUCUCAACAAGGUUGUUCUUACAUAACUAGAAUGGUUGGAUAGACUAAAACAUCUGAAUUUUAAUUCAUAACUAUUAUAUAAUAUAUAUAGAUCUCAAAUUCCCCUUCAAAUUGGAAGAUAAUAAAGAUAUAAGUAUUUAGUUUGGGUAACAUCAUUUGAAAAAGACAUCAUCUAAAUAUUAUAACAAAGACAUCUACACAAAUUUAUCCGUUGUGGGUAUCUGAUUCACGCGUAGAAUCUUUACUUGUAUAUCAUCCUUUAUAAAGCGACAAUGCGAUUCCACAUGUUUCCUUCCUCUUAUGAAACACAUGAUUAUCUGCAAUGUAAAAACAUAUACCCAUAGUUACUAACACAUCUUUAAUUCACUUCAGCUCAUUCAGUACAACAACCAUAGCUCUAUAUUGAACUCGUAAAUUUCAAAUUAUAUCGAGCAUUUCCAGGAGUAAUGACAAGCAAUGACCGUAGUUGCAGCAUGCAAACAUAAGUUCCAGAAGUACUCUUGAUUAUUGUUUUCGUUACAAAGUUUUAGUUGCAGGGGAGAAAUGUUCAUUGUCUUUAUAGAAAAAACAAGACCGUUUUGGUGAACAUAUAUAUCUCUUCUCUUACUCACCUUAUCUGUCUAUAUUAGCCUCAAGAUUCCAUGUACUGACAUUUACAGAAACAGAAAAAGAGGGCCUACUUUAACCUUGACUAAAAUUUACAUGCUAUGUCUCUGGUUAUAUUUUCAACAUUGUGGAUUUGCUUGGAGAACCGACCCUUUAUUAACCUGCAACAACACGAUGGAGAUGUAUCUGUCAAAUCAUGAGCAUUAACUCAUCUCGCUAGAAAUGCCUCAGGACAUUCCCUGAUUCUUACUAACCUUUUGGUUUGUUAUCCUGAUCUUCAGGUUCCUUACUACUACUUGCCUGGCUGAAACUCAGCUGUGAUGAUGAUUGAUUCUGUAGACACAUUUUAAAACACCAUCUUGUGAGCUAUGGACCAUUUGUAAGGAACAGAGGAAUAAGCACAAUGGAUAAUG